rnacentral:lncRNA from 1 species
GCUCUGCUUCCAUAAGGGCUACAAAAUCGAAGUACUAUAUUCAGUUCCAUACAUCUAAAGUACUAAAACUCUUUCUUGUGUGUGUCCUUUAGACCUUUGUUUCGUACCAUGGCAAGACAAUCCUUAUCAGUUCCAAAGUCUGGGGGGUUAAUGCAACGGUGUUCAAGGCACUUCAGGGAGCAGAAAACUAGAUUUUAUAUCAUCUGGAGAUGCACCGUCUUUCUUAUGAGGUGUGAAGACAGGUUUUGACUGCUGCCGUAGACAUAGGGGAAGAACAUAGAUUUGAGAAUACAACUAGUUUUUUUUUUUUUUUUUUUUUUUUUUUUUUUUUUUANGGGGUUAAUGCAACGGUGUUCAAGGCACUUCAGGGAGCAGAAAACUAGAUUUUAUAUCAUCUGGAGAUGCACCGUCUUUCUUAUGAGGUGUGAAGUUUGGUUUUGACUGCUGCCGUAGACAUAUGAGAAUUUCAUAUAAUUGAGAAUACAACUAGUUUUUUUUUUUUUUUUUUUUUUUUCUUUUUUUUUUAAUUAUUAUUAUUAUGAUGUUCUAUGUAGACGAAGAGUGGCUGCAAGGCUUCAAUUACACAGUCUCUGAUAAAAAUAUGUAAAGUUACUAGAUUUUGUUCUAGUCUUCUUUUACUCUCUUGAACUACAAUUAUAAGUUUUCUUUUCAUUGGCGAGAAAAACUUAUGCAAUUAAGAUCAAUUGAUAAUUCUCAC